rfam:Ricinus communis cultivar Hale ctg_1100012340914, whole genome shotgun sequence.
GUAUCCAUAGUGUGGGCACUAUAAUAAAAGUAAUUUAAAGCCAUCAUAUGCUUCAUAAAAAGAUUCAGUAUCCUUUUAAUAAAAAUUAGAGACUUUAGCUCUUAAUUC